rnacentral:rRNA from 1 species
UUGGUGAGGUAAUGGCUCACCAAGGCGACGACGGGCAGCCGGCCUGAGAGGGCGACCGGCCACACUGGGACUGAGACACGGCCCAGACUCCUACGGGAGGCAGCAGUGGGGAAUAUUGCACAAUGGGCGAAAGCCUGAUGCAGCGACGCCGCGUGAGGGAUGACGGCCUUCGGGUUGUAAACCUCUUUCAGCAGGGAAGAAGCGAAAGUGACGGUACCUGCAGAAGAAGCGCCGGCUAACUACGUGCCAGCAGCCGCGGUAAUACGUAGGGCGCAAGCGUUGUCCGGAAUUAUUGGGCGUAAAGAGCUCGUAGGCGGCUUGUCACGUCGGGUGUGAAAGCCCGGGGCUUAACCCCGGGUCUGCAUUCGAUACGGGCUAGCUAGAGUGUGGUAGGGGAGAUCGGAAUUCCUGGUGUAGCGGUGAAAUGCGCAGAUAUCAGGAGGAACACCGGUGGCGAAGGCGGAUCUCUGGGCCAUUACUGACGCUGAGGAGCGAAAGCGUGGGGAGCGAACAGGAUUAGAUACCCUGGUAGUCCACGCCGUAAACGGUGGGAACUAGGUGUUGGCGACAUUCCACGUCGUCGGCGCCGCAGCUAACGCAUUAAGUUCCCCGCCUGGGGAGUACGG